GAACAACGACUAGGCUCUAGCAGAAUUGCCUUUGCCUUGCAAGAUUUUUUGUAUUUCUGGCCGCUUCGUCGACUCCAUUAAUUGUCGGUACCGGAGAGAAGGGGACUCCAGAAGCGGAAGCGCUUCGAGUAUACGACGAUGUGGCAGCGGUGAAGAGCACAGUAUAUUUGUUUGAUUGUGGCCUGUGGCAUGCAUGCGUCUCUGCGGCUGAACAUUGUAAGGAGGAUGUUCUGUGGGAUGGUUAUUCUUUGAAUUUCACUGCGCCAACGUUUUUGGUGGAGACGUUGUGCGUCCAGUCCCCUGUCUUGUAAGAAGCACCACAUUACUGUGUAUAACACAUGUUAGAGAUUGUUAACCACUUCAAUGAAACUAAAAUAGGUGGUUGGCAACAAUGCUGAAAUUUCAGGACUUUCACA